rnacentral:rRNA from 1 species
AUUGAACGCUGGCGGCAUGCUUUACACAUGCAAGUCGAACGGUAACAGGCCGCAAGGUGCUGACGAGUGGCGAACGGGUGAGUAAUGCGUCGGAACGUGCCCAGUCGUGGGGGAUAACGCAGCGAAAGCUGCGCUAAUACCGCAUACGAUCUGUGGAUGAAAGCGGGGGACCGAAAGGCCUCGCGCGAUUGGAGAGGCCGAGGUCAGAUUAGGUAGUUGGGGGGGUAAAGGCCCACCAAGCCAACGAUCUGGAGCUGGUCUGAGGGGACGACCAGCCACACUGGGACUGGGACACGGCCCAGACUCCUACGGGAGGCAGCAGUGGGGAAUUUUGGACAAUGGGCGCAAGCCUGAUCCAGCAAUGCCGCGUGCAGGAAGAAGGCCUUCGGGUUGUAAACUGCUUUUGUACGGAACGAAACGGCUCUGGUUAAUACCUGGGGCUAAUGACGGUACCGUAAGAAUAAGCACCGGCUAACUACGUGCCAGCAGCCGCCGUAACAC